CAUUAGAUGACUGAAAUUUAAGUCUUGGUCUCUUAAACCAAUAUAUAGUAUUAAUAUUACUUCUAAUGA
rnacentral:tRNA from 1 species